rnacentral:rRNA from 1 species
CUUACCAGGUCCAGACACAGUUAGGAUUGACAGAUUGAGAGCUCUUUCUUGAUUCUGUGGGUGGUGGUGCAUGGCCGUUCUUAGUUGGUGGAGUGAUUUGUCUGGUUAAUUCCGAUAACGAACGAGACCUCAGUUUAUUAAUUAAAUAAAAAAAUAUUAACAAUAUAAGGGUUAAGAAGACUUAUUUUGAUACUUGUAUUAAAAUAACCUUUUUAAAACUUGUUUAUAUUUCAUUUUAUUUUCUUAAAAAGACACUUGGUGUUUAACCAAGGGAAGUUUGAGGCAAUAACAGGUCUGUGAUGCCCUUUAGAUGUUCUGGGCCGCACGCGCGCUACACUGAUAAAAUCAAUAAGUUUUUUAUUAAAUUAACCUUAAUAGAAAUAUUUGGGUAAACUUUGAAAAUUUUAUCGUGCUGGGGAUUGACAAUUGUAAUUAUUUGUCGUCAACGAGGAAUUCCUAGUAAACGUAAGUCAUCAGCUUACGUUGAUUACGUCCCUGCCCUUUGUACACACCGCCCGUC